rnacentral:rRNA from 1 species
UACGUAGGGUGCAAGCGUUAAUCGGAAUCACUGGGCGUAAAGCGCACGUAGGCGGAUCUUUAAGUCAGGGGUGAAAUCCCAAGGCUCAACCUUGGAACUGCCUUUGAUACUGGGGAUCUCGAGUCCGGAAGAGGUGAGUGGAACUGCGAGUGUAGAGGUGAAAUUCGUAGAUAUUCGCAAGAACACCAGUGGCGAAGGCGGCUCACUGGUCCGGUACUGACGCUGAGGUGCGAAAGCGUGGGGAGCAAACAGG